CGCGUAGGUGGUUUGAUAAGCGAGAUGUGAAAGCCCCGGGCUUAACCUGGGAACGGCAUUUCGAACUAUCAGGCUAGAGUAUGGUAGAGGAGUGUGGAAUUUCCUGUGUAGCGGUGAAAUGCGUAGAUAUAGGAAGGAACACCAGUGGCGAAGGCGGCACUCUGGACCAAUACUGACACUGAGGUGCGAAAGCGUGGGGAGCAAACA
rnacentral:rRNA from 1 species